rnacentral:tRNA from 1 species
GUCUGAGUGGCUCAGUGGUUGAGAGUCUGCCUUUGGCUCAGAUAGUGAUCCCGGGGUCCUGGGAUCGAGUCCCAGAUCAGGCU